GAAAUGCGAUAAGUAAUGUGAAUUGCAAAAUUCAGUGAAUCAUCGAAUCUUUGAACGCACAUUGCGCCCGCCAGUAUUCUGGCGGGCAUGCCUGUCCGAGCGUCAUUUCAACCAUCAAGCCCCCGGGCUUGUGUUGGGGACCUGCGGCUGCCCGCAGGCCCUGAAAACCAGUGGCGGGCUCGCUGUCACACCGAGCGUAGUAGCAAUCACCUCGCUCAGGGCGUGCUGCGGGUUCCGGCCGUUAAACAGCCUUACAAAACCCAAGGUUGACCUCGGAUCAGGUAGGAAGACCCGCUGAACUUAAGC
rnacentral:misc_RNA from 1 species